rnacentral:rRNA from 1 species
UACGUAGGGGGCGAGCGUUAUCCGGAUUUAUUGGGCGUAAAGCGUGUGUAGGCGGUUUAUUUAGUCUAAGAUCAAAGCCUGAGGCUCAACCUCAGUUCGUCUUAGAAACUGGUAGACUUGAGUGUGGUAGAGGCAAAUGGAACUUCUAGUGUAGCGGUUAAAUGCGUAGAUAUUAGAAAGAACACCAGUGGCGAAGGCGGUUUGCUGGGCCAUUACUGACGCUGAGACACGAAAGCGUGGGGAGC